rnacentral:rRNA from 1 species
UACGGAGGGUGCAAGCGUUAUCCGGAUUCACUGGGUUUAGAGGGUGCGUCGGCGGGUUUGUAAGUCAGUGGUGAAAUCCUGGAGCUUAACUCCAGAACUGCCAUUGAUACUAUAAGUCUUGAAUAUUGCGGAGGUAAGCGGAAUAUGUCAUGUAGCGGUGAAAUGCUUAGAUAUGACAUAGAACACCCAUUGCGAAGGCAGCUUACUACACAUAUAUUGACGCUGAGGCACGAAAGCGUGGGGAUCAAAUAGG